rnacentral:lncRNA from 12 species
AGGAUUGAUCUUUAAUUCUGUGAUGCUGACACACCUUUGCAUUCACAGGUGUGGGAUGAAUCCAUCAACAGAAGGAAGAGAACAGCCUCCUUGCCUUGCCAGGGACUCUGAGCUGUAGAAGAGGAUGAGAAGUUUGUCUCUCAUGCAAGAGUUGAGGAUAUACUGUUCCUUGGAAGAUGCCCAAUGUGAUCCUGUGUGAGACUAGACAAGUGUAGAACAGUAGACCAGCCAACCAACACUGGGCCUGAACAACUUCCGACUACUCCAGAACAAUUGGACAAGAUAGAGUUGAGAUGAGCUGUGGAUAAUUCUAGGAGACUGCAUGCGCAUGAAACCAAGCUUGAUGUCUAAUUUUAGA